AUGCUUACUUCACUAGCACAUCCACUGAAAGUGGAAUGAUACAGAGAAGAUUAGCAUGGUCCCUACAUAGGGAAAUUCUUGAAGCAUUUCAUAUUUUU
rnacentral:snRNA from 1 species